CCUGAGACUGGUAAUGGUAAACGUAUUGAAAUAUUUAAAAAUUGAUAUUUUGUGAUUUAUUGGUAAAAGAUAUUACGUUUUUCUCAUUCAUAUACAAUUAUUAGUAUUUUCUGUUUUUGUAAAAAAUAUAACAGUUCAUUAGAAUUGCAUAAGUUGUUUAUAUAGAAUAAAAUGCAAACUCUUUGUCAAGUUUUUCAUAGCUCACCACUGCAUGUAAUCCACAAACAGGAUAGGUCUACAAAUUACAUUAGUAGCAAAUAUGUGUUCUAUAACCAAACAUAGGGAAGAUUUUGCAAUGUUGAUUACAACUAAAACCAUAUUAUUUACAGAUGCUGCAAUAUAAAUUUUGCAAUCGUAUGCAUGGAAGACAAUUCUUCCACUAUCUAGUGGUGAAGCAUUUGUUGGAUAGGUACGUUUGUGUACUGGACAUGGAAAAUUGUCAUGCUGUUACUGAAUAGAAAUUAUAUUUACUUGAACAUUUUAUAUGCCAUUUCACUGAUAAAGGUACAUGGGUCCUUUUUUUCUACAGAAACACUGUAAAAGAAGAUGACUCAAUGUUGUUCAGAUGACCAUGAGAUCAUUGACCAUACACUCCGUAAUCUUUUGCUUUUGGAAUGUGCUUUAGACUAUAUUUAUAUGCUCCUAUUGCUAAUAAUAUCAAAACUCCAAGACUGCAUUAUAGCUCCUUUGAUGACCAUCAGCAGGGAAAUUUUACUAUGUUUGUGAAUAGAAUUGUGAUACCCGGUCGAUAUGUGUCCUGUACCAACAGGAACACACAAUGACCUUUAUGGUAUUAUGUCAAAUUUGAUGAACUUUUAUUUCAUUUCAUGUAGUAAUCAUUUUUUAUCUGUAAUAUGUUACAGAAUAAAACAUUUUAAAACUUACAAA